AUCUUCAUUUUUUCUACUUGAAUUGAUUAUCAUUUUGUUGUUGUUGUGUUGUGUUGUGAAAUGUUUAAAACAUUCACAAUGUUUAAAUUGUUGCUGUUUUUCUGUAUUUCAUUCACGGUUAUUUAUGCUUCAAAAGAUGCACCUCGAAUUUCUAAAUUGUUUUCAACAGAAUUGAAUCAAUCUGAAGGAUAAGUAUUGAAUAUUCCAUUUUCGGUUAUCAGUGGUUGAACACCACUAUCGUUCAAAUGGUUUAAAAAUGAACAAGAAUUACUUAGACAUAGAAAUCCGGAAUUAUCAUAUCAGAUUAAAACAGAUAAUUUUC